GUGCCUGUGGCUCAAAGGAGUAGAGCACUGGCCCGAUAUGCCAAAGGUGGCGGGUUCAAACCCAGCCCUGGCCA
rnacentral:tRNA from 1 species